AGAGUUUGAUCAUGGCUCAGAACGAACGCUGGCGGCAGGCUUAAGACAUGCAAGUCGAACGAGUAAGUGCCUGUAGCAAUACAGGAGUACUGCUAGUGGCAAACGGGUGAGUAACACGUGGGAACCUACCUUUUGGUGCGGAACAACAGCUGGAAACGGCUGCUAAUACCGCAUGUGCUCGAAAGAGGAAAGAUUUAUCGCCAAAAGAUGGGCCCGCGCUUGAUUAGCUAGUUGGUAGGGUAAUGGCCUACCAAGGCUACGAUCAAUAGCUGGUCUGAGAGGAUGAUCAGCCACACUGGAACUGAGACACGGUCCAGACUCCUACGGGAGGCAGCAGUCGGGAAUAUUGGACAAUGGAGGAAACUCUGAUCCAGCCAUGCCGCGUGAGUGAAGAAGGCCUUCGGGUUGUAAAGCUCUUUAGCCAGGGAAGAUAAUGACGGUACCUGGAGAAUAAGCUCCGGCUAACUCUGUGCCAGCCGCCGCGGUAAUAC
rnacentral:rRNA from 1 species